CAGGUUAUAUUGCAUUCUGGAAUAUAUAUGGCCGUGGGAACCUUUUUGCUUAUUUCUCUAGUUCAAAAGAGAGAUCCACAGUCAGUGACAUGGCAGUUGAUGACAAGGACUUCCUCUUGUGUGCAGGAGACCAACUGGGCUUUCUCUAUAUCUGGAACAUUGCAGAAUAUGCUAUUAAUGGCCCAGAAGCCAAGCCACCAGUUUUACUUCACAGCUGGAACACUCACAACUGCAGCAUAACCAGGUA